GGUUUUCAAAUGUAUCGGGCCGUAACUGAGUGUUUCAAGAUGGAGUGCGGCGUUCCACAUGAACAAAAGAUAUAUGCUUAUUCAUUUUCUUUCGCUCAUCUGUUCUGUGAGUAUUUGGCAUCGUGUGAUCUCCCUGAGCCGGACUCCGUGCUUCCAUGGCCUUUGGAGACAGAACUCUUAUCGCUCCUGAUGGCUUGCAAUAAACUCUGCUACUGUCUCCUAGUCUCCGCUACUGUUUCCUAGUCUCUGCUGCCAUGUGCCAGUCUCUUCUGCCAUCAAGGAAGAAGCUGCAGCAGACAGCCAUCUGCAUCCAUGUGCACCUCCACCUUUCAGCUUAAUGCAGGGUUCUUAUCCCGAACAUGUUCCUGCACUGAGACCCCUAGUAGACCGUUUUCCCGUGACCCUGACAUCGUCAUGGAUUGUGAUUGAUUUAUAAACGAGUUUCCUUUAGUGACACACUUACAUACAUCCGCAAAGUCACAUAGUCACGCACACAGUCAGUCACUUCUGUUGGGGUGCGAGUAUUCAGGAAACCAGAAAAUUGCAGCUUCGGGUGUCACCAGGACAGGCUUGAGAUGUUCAGGCUACCUGUGCAAUCCCCCUGAGUCCUUUUGUCCUCUCCAUCCAUGUGAUAUGCCUCUCUUUUGCUCCACCAGGAAUAGAGUAAAUAAAUAACCUAAGACAACACAGCAUUGGAGGUACAGAUCAACUGCAAACUGCAUGCAAAUGCAGUAUUUGGCACUGCAGGCUUUAUGUGGGAAAUGCUGCC